CCAAUGGCGUCUGUGUCAGCACGCCCACACCAGGCCACAACAAUGGCCGCCCCCAAUGUCCCAGUCCCUGGAGAGGUCUCACCUCUCACCGAGAUGCACUCAGGGCCUAUUAGUCAUAGUUUGAAGCACUGAAACUGGACUAGGAAGGCCUGUUCUUACCCAAUGAGUAUAGAAAAGGUGUCACAUCAAUCGUUAAAUCUCAUUGGGCAAAUGGAACAAUGUCUGGAAGAAAACAAUACGGAUCUCUGUACAAUUUUCAAAUAUCAUGAAGCCGUAAACAUGAUUACAGUUCUCAUUUUACAGGUAAGUAACUAAACUAUGACGCAGAACAGUUAAGUACAUUACCCAGUGCCCACCCAUGAGGGACAAAGCUGGAAUAGAGCAUAGUUAUUCUGAUGCCAGAAAUUUCGUUUUCCCCACUGCAUC